rnacentral:rRNA from 1 species
UACGUAGGUGGCGAGCGUUGUCCGGAUUUACUGGGCGUAAAGGGCGUGCAGGCGGUUUGUUAAGUGCAGGGUGAAAGCUCCCGGCUCAACUGGGAGAGGUCCUUGCAUACUGGCGAACUCGAGGGAGGCAGAGGAAAGUGGAAUUCCCGGUGUAGUGGUGAUAUGCGUAGAUAUCGGGAGGAACACCAGUGGCGAAGGCGGCUCUCUGGGCCCUACCUGACGCUGAGACGCGAAAGCGUGGGGAGCGAGCCGG